rnacentral:rRNA from 1 species
GGUUGACCUCGGAUCAGGUAGGGAUACCCGCUGAACUUAAGCAUAUCAAUAAGCGGAGGAAAAGAAACCAACCGGGAUUGCCCCAGUAACGGCGAGUGAAGCGGCAAAAGCUCAAAUUUGAAAUCUGGCCCCUCCGGGGUCCGAGUUGUAAUUUGCAGAGGAUGCUUCGGGUGCGGCCCCCGUCUAAGUGCCCUGGAACGGGCCGUCAGAGAGGGUGAGAAUCCCGUCUUGGGCGGGGUGUCCGUGCCCGUGUGAAGCUCCUUCGACGAGUCGAGUUGUUUGGGAAUGCAGCUCUAAAUGGGUGGUAAAUUUCAUCUAAAGCUAAAUACUGGCCGGAGACCGAUAGCGCACAAGUAGAGUGAUCGAAAGAUGAAAAGCACUUUGAAAAGAGAGUUAAACAGCACGUGAAAUUGUUGAAAGGGAAGCGCUUGCGACCAGACUCGCCCGCGGGGUUCAGCCGGCACUCGUGCCGGUGUACUUCCCCGUGGGCGGGCCAGCGUCGGUUUGGGCGGCCGGUCAAAGGCCUCCGGAAUGUAUCGCCCUCCGGGGCGUCUUANAGCCGGGGGUGCAAUGCGGCCAGCCCGGACCGAGGAACGCGCUUCGGCACGGACGCUGGCAUAAUGGUCGCAAACGACC